rnacentral:rRNA from 1 species
UACGGAGGGAGCUAGCGUUGUUCGGAAUUACUGGGCGUAAAGCGCGCGUAGGCGGCUUUGUAAGUUAGAGGUGAAAGCCCGGGGCUCAACCCCGGAAUAGCCUUUAAGACUGCAUCGCUUGAACACGGGAGAGGUGAGUGGAAUUCCGAGUGUAGAGGUGAAAUUCGUAGAUAUUCGGAAGAACACCAGUGGCGAAGGCGGCUCACUGGACCGUUGUUGACGCUGAGGUGCGAAAGCGUGGGGAGCAAACAGG